AAGCACUCUAUUUAUUUACCCAUUUCGAAGUAUUCUCUGUAACACCUCGUCCUGUAGUCUAUAAGUACGGCCCAAUUUCUAGCACGAACUCACCACCCGCCUAAUUCUUGGCUGUUGGUGUCAAUAAUUUUUUUACAGGAUAUUAAUAUGUCUGACAAAAUUACAGGAACCGUUAAGUGGUUCAAUGAAAACAAAGGCUUCGGUUUUAUCGAGCGCGAAUCUGGUGCAGAUGUGUUUGCACAUUUCAGCGCAAUCGAAAGUUCCGGUUACAAAACACUGGCUGAAGGCCAGCGUGUAGAAUUUAUCGUUACCCAGGGUCAGAAAGGACCUCAGGCCGAAAAUAUCGUAGCCCUUUAAAUUCUAUAGCUUGUUAGU
rnacentral:sRNA from 1 species